ACGAACGCUGGCGGCGUGCCUAAUGAAUGCGAGUCGAACGGAGUGCAACAUCGGUCACACUUUCGGGUGCGACCUGGUUGCACUUAGUGGCGAACGGGUGAGUAACACGUGGGUAACGUGCCUCCGAGACGGGCAUAACAGAGGGAAACCUCUGCUAAUUCCCGAUAUGCUGCCGAUGCCUUGGCAUCGACCAGGAAAGCUCCGGCGCUCGGAGAUCGGCCCGCGGUCCAUUAGCUAGUUGGUGAGGUAAGGGCUCACCAAGGCGACGAUGGAUAGCUGGUCUGAGAGGACGAUCAGCCACGCUGGGACUGCGACAUGGUCCAGACUCCUACGGGAGUUAGCAUCCGGGAAUCUUGCACAAUGGGCGCAAGCCUGAUGCAGCGACGCCGCGUGGGUGAUGAAGGUCUGCGGAUCGUAAAGCCCUGUCAGGAGGGAAGAAGUUCUGACUGUACCUCCAAAGGAAGCCCCGGCUAACUACGUG
rnacentral:rRNA from 1 species